AGAGUUUGAUCCUGGCUCAGGACGAACGCUGGCGGCGUGCCUAACACAUGCAAGUCGAACGAGAAUCUUUGAACAGAUCUUUUCGGAGUGACGUUUAAAGAGGAAAGUGGCGGACGGGCGAGUAACGCGUGAGUAACCUGCCCAUAAGAGGGGGAUAAUCCAUGGAAACGUGGACUAAUACCGCAUAUUGUAGUUAAGUUGCAUGACUUGAUUAUGAAAGAUUUAUCGCUUAUGGAUGGACUCGCGUCAGAUUAGAUAGUUGGUGAGGUAACGGCUCACCAAGUCAACGAUCUGUAGCCGAACUGAGAGGUUGAUCGGCCGCAUUGGGACUGAGACACGGCCCAGACUCCUACGGGAGGCAGCAGUGGGGAAUAUUGCGCAAUGGGGGCAACCCUGACGCAGCAACGCCGCGUGCAGGAAGAAGGUCUUCGGAUUGUAAACUGUUGUCGCAAGGGAAGAAGACAGUGACGGUACCUUGUGAGAAAGUCACGGCUAACUACGUGCCAGCAGCCGCGGUAAUACGUAGGUGACAAGCGUUGUCCGGAUUUACUGGGUGUAAAGGGCGCGUAGGCGGACUGUCAAGUCAGUCGUGAAAUACCGGGGCUUAACCCCGGGGCUGCGAUUGAAACUGACAGCCUUGAGUAUCGGAGAGGAAAGCGGAAUUCCUAGUGUAGCGGUGAAAUGCGUAGAUAUUAGGAGGAACACCAGUGGCGAAGGCGGCUUUCUGGACGACAACUGACGCUGAGGCGCGAAAGUGUGGGGAGCAAACAGGAUUAGAUACCCUGGUAGUCCACACCGUAAACGAUGGAUACUAGGUGUAGGAGGUAUCGACCCCUUCUGUGCCGCAGUUAACACAAUAAGUAUCCCACCUGGGGAGUACGACCGCAAGGUUGAAACUCAAAGGAAUUGACGGGGGCCCGCACAAGCAGUGGAGUAUGUGGUUUAAUUCGAAGCAACGCGAAGAACCUUACCUGGGCUUGACAUCCCUGGAAUCGAGUAGAGAUACUUGAGUGCCUUCGGGAAUCAGGUGACAGGUGGUGCAUGGUUGUCGUCAGCUCGUGUCGUGAGAUGUUGGGUUAAGUC
rnacentral:rRNA from 1 species